CCCGCUGAACUUAAGCAUAUCAAUAAGGCGGAGGACAAGAAACUAACAAGGAUUCCCCUAGUAACUGCGAGUGAAGCGGGAAGAGCUCAAAUUUGAAAUCUGGCGGCUUCGCCGUCCGAGUUGUAUUCUGGAGAAGCGUUUUCCGUGAUGGACCGUGUACAAGUCCCUUGGAACAGGGCGUCGUAGAGGGUGAGAAUCCCGUCUUUGACACGGACUGCCAGUGCUCUGUGAUGCGCUCUCGAAGAGUCGAGUUGUUCGGGAAUGCAGCUCAAAAUGGGUGGUAAAUUCCAUCUAAAGCUAAAUAUUGGCAGAGAGACCGAUAGCGAACAAGUACCGUGAGGGAAAGAUGAAAAGUACUUUGGAAAGAGAGUGAAACAGUACGUGAAAUUGUUGAAAGGGAAACGCUUGAAGUCAGUCUGCAGUCUUCUGGAAAUCAGCCGUGCUUCUGCUAGGCGCAUUUUCCAGUUUGACGGGUCAGCAUCGGUUUCGGUGUGCAGACAAAGGCGCAGGGAAGGUGGCCGCUGCCGGUGCGUGUUAUAGCCCUGCGUUGUAUGUGCCCGCUGGGACCGAGGAAUCCGGCUCGCGCCUGGGAUGCUGGCGUAAUGGCUCUCAGCGACCCGUCUUGAAACACGG
rnacentral:rRNA from 1 species